AAGGUUUGAGGAUCGAACCUUGGAAACUAAGUCAUGCCGCGAUUGGAGGUUCUGGUUAUUUCGACCUGAACGGAAGAAGCUCGGGACAGGGCCUUUUGCGAACACGACCUCGCAUUCUGCCCAAAUGACCUGACAAUCAUCAUCCCAGCGACCUGGAUUCGUCGGACGUUUCUUAUCGUGCCUUAGGGUUGGAGAUUCAAUGAACCUGUUUUCGCACUGUCAGGCGCUCUGCACGUGUUAAAGCGUCUGGUAGGCGCAUUAAAUGUGCUGUGUGCUGACCUGGCGUCAUCUUGACAGCAUUAAUUGCACGACACAUUUGAAACGGCGACCAUCAUCACAGCAUUGAAUGCGACGUGGGGCGCAUUUAAUGUAGAGAGAGAGAGAGCUGUCGUUUCGAUUCCGAGAGGUGGUAACCGUUGGUUCGCAGUCCAUAUAAAAGCUCACAUUUUUCAGAUGACGCCACCAAAAUCCCUUUUGCCUCGAGUGACAAGCCUUUGCAAACCGGAAGUUCUUCUUUUCCGAUUGGCGCCUCUCGGAUAUCUGAAAUAAGAUUCGGCCUUGGUCACGCGUCCCAGAAGUUAAUAGAACGACCAGCCAAGACCUGCUUGACGACCCGGAUAGGCUCAUGUCUUUUGGAGUCCUUCCCGAGGAAAGCCAGGACGCAAGGAAGCUCGUGACAACCGCGAACUUGCGAAAGUACGGUUUUAUCAGUAACAACGCGUCUUUAGAGCCCCUAGAAGCAACUAUGCCUCCGAAGGAGUCCGAGCAGCCUCGCCGAGCACCGUUCGUCCUACCUCAAUUGAGGAGAGAGAGAGCGGCCGAAGCUGCUCGUCCCAUUCCGGCACAACCGGUGCGAACAGCCGUGCCUUCCCACCCCCGUCCUGUGCAAGAAGCGACCAGGACAGAACAGGUCGCUCAGGCACCACUUGCUCGCCCAAGGCGGAAGGCUCCGGUCCAGAGGUCAAAGAAGAGGAAGCAGAUUUAGGUCGACAAGUCAGAGACCGAAUCUGAGGAAGAACCUUUGAGGUCGUUACAGGACUCAAGGAGGUCGGGCAAGGAACCCGUGAGCGAGGCGAUCCCUGCCGACAAGGCGAAGGACCCACCAGUGCUGGACUCAUUGGGGAGUCUACCCGAAUACCUGUAGCCGAUAGUCUAUUCUCUGCUCGAGUGUGGGCUAUCGGAGUCGUAUGAUGAGUUCGCUGAUACGGGCGACGACCUGAUGACCACGUUGUUCUAGCAUCUAAGCAAGGUAAACGAGCUAUACUUAAAGUUUCAUUCUAAUUCAUUUCUUGCUCGCAGGCUUUGCUUGCGAUGUGGAUGUCUAUGGAGAAGACUCGGCUGGGGGCCGCGAAGGGGCCAAGCGACCUAAAGGAGGAGGUCACGAAGCUGAAGUAGAGCCUGGACUCCGUCGAAGCAGAAAGAACACAAGCAUUCGAAGCGGCGAAUAGGUAUCUGAACCAAAAGGAUGCUGCUUUGCGAACAGUGGACUUCCAAAAGGCAGAGCUCGAACGACGUGCAGAGGAAGUGAAGGAACUUCAAAGGACAACCGCUAGGCUCUCUAAGGAGGUCGGAGAAAAGGACCAGGAGAUCCAGGCGACCUCCAUAUGGGCUCAACAAGCUGAACAGGAGAGGGAGGCCUCCGAAAAGGAAAGGCAAUCUCUUGAGGCCGAACUCCAGGACAGUCGGGAAAAAAUCGCUUCUCUGACUGAAGAAAUGCGGAUCCAGUCAGAGGAGGUGGAGGAUAAGGCUGCAGACUGGGCAAUCGGGUCUAUUUAUUCCCUGCGAUCAAAGAACCCAGAUCUGGACAUUUCUGAUCUCCCGGAGGGGUGGCAAGAGACCUUGUGGAUUCUGGCGGAGGAAGACGAUCAAGCAGCAGUGGCCACCCGACGAUCCGACCAGGCAGGGGGUUCUGGUCCUGCUUCGAAGGAUCCCCCCGACCAGCCAUAAUGUAACGAGUCUGACUCCAUUGAGAUUGGGUCUUAAUUUUUGUUUGUACAUAAAUGAAAAUACAUUUUGCUUUCAAUUGCUGUUCGCCUUUUCAUACAUAAGUACAGUUUACAAUCCAGGUUUACAUAGGCAAUUACAUACGAAUUCUU